GAACAUGUUGCUCAUGGCUGGUUAUUCUCUUUUCAGAGCGAUGAACUUGGCAGUAAAAUCAGUAGAGGCAUUUAAGGACAUCUGUGACAGGUGACUGGUGACCCCUGAGAUAGCAGAACAGAGACCUUCUAUGGCAAGGAACUUAACUUUUGAAAACCAGUUUGAAAAAGGCACUAAACAAAUGGACAACUUCAGUCUUAAAGAUCAAUGACAGCAUAUCCUGGGGAAGGAAGAGAAUCUGAUUCCUUGAUUUACCACAUUAUAAUAUCCCAACUAUCCAGUUUUCAAAAAUAAAUUGACAGAAACUCCUGA